GUAAGUUUACAUAUUUACUUUUUUUGUGAUAGUAUGUGUCAGAGUCCUUUGCAGAACUGUCUGGAGCCUGGGAGGUCAGGAUUGCUGGACUUGACACAGGAUUUUGUGUCAGGUAGGUUGAAGGGGCUUGAGAACUUACCUUUCUGAGAAGUUCUCAACUGAAACUGAUAGUUUGGGGUCCACAUUCACAACCACAGGUACAAAUUACUUACUUAUAAGCAGACAUCCUAAUGGAGUUUAUUUAUAUGUGUUGACUCUUUAGAGAUGAGUUUCAGCUGAGUGUACCUGCCUGUAAUCUCAGUCUGUCAGAAACUGAUGCAGGAUUGUGAGUUCCAGGCCAGCUAGAGAGAUCCUUCCAAAUCUGUAUCUGGAUGUUAGGUAAUAUGGUCAGUAGCUAUCAAAAUACUGUCUUUAAAAAUGUUUUUCAAAUAUAAACCACGCUUGAGGAUUUCAGGAAAGUUUCCGUUACUGUGGUUCUCACAGGCCUGUGAUGCUGAGUGUGGUCACAGUGAUAAUCCGGUAACCCGAGGCAGCUGUGGAGCUCAUCUCUGCAUAAAUAGUUACUUAAUACAAUUGACUGGUGAUUGUCAUACAUCCGUACUGAAUUUUGUCCUGCUUCUUUUUGUAGUUAUGAAGCUAUGGGAGGCAUGACAAAGAUCAAGUUAAUUAUGAUAUAUUAUACAAUCCCCCAUAUGGGCUUCACUAAACUACUUGUAGGGGAGCAGGGGCGAUGGCUCCGUUGCUUAGAGUAGUUGUUUCUCUUGCAAAGGACUCAAAGUCAGUUUCUAGCACCCAUGUGAAGUGACUUACGGCUACCCAGUAUUUCAGCUCCAAGGGGUUUAAUCCCCCUUCCGGCCUCUGCAGGCACACACAUAAAUGG
rnacentral:lncRNA from 1 species